UAGGCGCACGUGGGGGCGGGGCCGGGGACUGCUCCCUGAGCGCGAAACUGCAGGGAGUCCCUUUCCAGAGCGGCAGUAUCCGCCUCUCUCUGCCGGCUGAUCCCACCCUGGAGAAGUCCUCUCGCUGUGGUGGAAAGAGCGAAGGAGUCUGAGCCGAGGGACUGAAGUAACGUGAUGUUACGACAGGCGGUGAUGUCUUCGGCAAUGGCCUCAGGCGGCGGAGACCGCUGCCCUGGGUCUGCGGGGUUCAAGGUGUAGCGGAGCGAUCCCUGACCGUGGAACUAAGAGUCCUCGGUGCUGGCUCCAGUACUGCUCCUGUUUGCUGUGGCACCUAGGGCGAAUCUCUUUCCUUCUCUGUGCCUUGAUUUCUUAUUGAGAGAAGGAAUCUGAUCUAUCAUUCUCAGGUCCCCUCCAGCUCGGAGUUUGUUUCACAUCAUCAGUAUUUCCAGAAUGACCUAUGUGUGCUGUGCCUGUCCCGGGUAUCAGCUGACGAUUAUGAGAUCUUCUGAAAGGAAAACGGAAGCCUCUGAUGGACUGGUGGCCCGAAGAGACAGUUUGUGAGGACACCUGAGUUCACAGAGCCAGGCUUGGUGGGGCCCAGCAGCAGGCCUUGGGGCAUCAUGCGGCUCCAUAACCCAGACCCCUGCCCGUAGCUGGACCCGUUUUAAAGCAGGCGAUGGGGUUCAUCCAUGGCACGCUGUGUGAAGGCAUUUCAGCCCAUAACGAGGACGCUGGGAUUUCAGGCUCAACUCCUGACUCUGAGGACUUUGUAGAUAAGUACUGCGUGUGGAGUGGGGUGGGGUGAUGAGGAAAACGAGAGAAGUGGGCAUAGUCAGAAUAAAGGACCGCUUCAUGAAGCUUUUGAAGAGAAGGCAGAGAGAAAUCCAGCUGAAGGAACAACCUGGCUGGAGCCGUUUCAAGCUGGCUGGAUGGGAGGGGAAUCUUGGAAGCAAAACUCCCGUAGGGUGGGUUGGGGCUUGUUGCUGCAGGAAUUGACAGGGAAAGAAUAGUCAGGCCUGGCACAGUGGCUCUUGUCUGUAAUCCCAGCACUUUGGGAGGCCAAGCUGGUGGAUCACUUGAGGCCAGGAGUUCGAGACCAGCCUGGCCAACCUGGCGAAACCCAGUCUCUACUAAAAAUACAAAAACUUAGCCAGGUGUGGUGGCCGGUGCCUGUAAUCCCACUUACUUGGGAGGCUGAGGUAGGAGAAUGGCUUGAACCCGGGAAGCGGAGGUUGCAGUGAGGGGAGAUUCUACCAUUGCACUCCAGCCUGGGUGACAGAGCAGACACUGUCUUGGAAAAAAAAAAGUAGACAAUGGGAAGCUCUGAGAGUUUGAGAGUUGGGAAGUGACAGGACUAGAGCUGUGCUUCUGGGAAAUCACCGUGUAGGGGGUUGGGAAGAAAAGAUUGUGAAAGUCAACUGGGAGACCCCAAAGGAAUUUAUUGCAGCAACAGUCUUUGUGAAAGGUAGUUAGGGCCAAACCAGGUGGGGGUAGCCAGGAUGGAAGGGAGGUGCAGACGGGAGGCAGGAUUUAGACUUGAACUCUGGGAGAGGAGUCAAGCCGGCUUCUCCACGGAAGAGGGGGGAACACUGGAGGAAGGCAGCAGGAGGACUUGGCUUGGGCUUGCUGAGGGAAUGAGCGGCUGGCAGCCGACCAGCAGGCUCUGUUGAGUGUCCAUGGAGGGGACAGUGAGGUAGACAUGAGAUAUACCUUGGGGACCUGCAACACACACAGAGAAAAGAUUAAAGAAUGUUCGCAAAUCAGUGCACAAAGGAAGCUUGCUGGGCAUUGGGCAAGUCAUUAGGCAUUCCACCCUCAGUUUCUUCACAGGUUAGAGUGAGGAUAAGACACCUACUGAGGAAGGUGGUAACGAGUAAGCUCUGAUGAUAGAGCACCUCACCCAGGACUUGGUGCACAGCGCCCAUUUUAAAAAAAUAAUCAGGCAUAAUCCAGUGUUUGUGACUAUCUAGUAAGUUUUCCGUUUUGUUUUUGAGACAGCAUCUCGCUCUGUCACCCAGGCUGGAGUGUAGUGGCGAUCUCAGAUCACUGCAACCUCCACCUCCCAGGCUCAAGCAGUCCUCUCACUUCAGCCCCCCAGGUAGCUGGGACCAUGGGUGCAUAUCACCACACCCACUGAGUUUUGUUUUUUUUGUAGAGAUAGGGAUCUCUCUAUGUUGCCCAGGCUGGUCUCGAACUUGUGAGCUCAAGUGAUCUGCCCACCUUGGCUUUCCAAAGUGUUGGGAUUACAGGCGUGAGCCACCGCCUUCUGCAAAACUCUCUAUCCCUCUUUGUGUGAUUACAUAUUCACUAAACUGAUGACUGACUCCAUUAUGAUUUUGGAAAAGUGGGAGCCCUGGGUAAUGGACAAUUCUAAAACUUUUUCAUUCUUUCAGACUAUGUUUUUGUACCCAUUAGCCAUCCCCACAUCUCCCCAUCCUCCAAAAUGGAAAAUACAAAUGUUAAUUUAAACAAAUCAACAUUUGUUUAAAUCAACUGCAAGAGUUACUCAGGAGGCUGAGGCAGGAGAAUCACUUGAACCCGGGAGGUGCAAGUUGCAGUGAGCUGAGAUCUCACUAAUGUACUCCAGGCUGAGCAACAGAGUGAGACUCUGUCUCAAAAAAGAAAAAAAAAAGCACAAUAAUAUAAGAAAACUUAAAACAGAAAAACACAAAUGAAAAAAUACCCAAAUUAUCUGUGAUAAAUCCGUCCCUCCAAAAAAACCACUGUUAAUAUUUGGAUGUGUGUUUUUCUAAGCAUGUGUUUGUUGUAACAGUUUAUGUCCUAGAGUAAUUAAUUCAACAAAUAUUUAUUGAGCACUUGGAACGCCAGACCUGUUCUAGGUGCUGGGGAUGUAAGUGCAUUUUUUUUUUUAAUUAAGAAGAUUAUUUUUGAAAACAAUGACAAACUAAUAGAAUACUUCCAACUAGAGAAUUUUUGUUUUUCUUUUCCUGAGGGUAAGUACUGAUUUGGUACGUCAUUAGUCUGGAGUACUUUUAGUUCGUAGUUCCUAGAGACAUGGGCAUUCUCCUUUGUAUCCAAGGUAUAACCAUCAAAAUUGAAAAAUUGCCAUUGAUACACUACUGUCACCUAAUCUUCAGCUCCAUUCAACUUAAUUCAAUUGAACUUAAUCUCCACUUCAUGGAAAUUGGUAUUUAGAAGCCAAGACCUGAGUGCUAAGUGUGCUUAUUGCUAUUAGGGUAUCUUGUUCCAAGGCCUUCUCCAUGGUUACAGUUGGGAGCACCCUCCCACCCCCCCGACACACAGUUACUUACGUCUAUAUUUAUUUGUACAUCUGUCUACUCACAUAUUUUGAAAACCAUGAGUUUACACCAGUAUCUCCAAUUCCAAUGCAUCACUCUAGGGCUGAUUCUAGUUUUCUCCCUUUCUGUGUUUGUAGCUUACUUCUCCAGCCAGGAGUGAGGUUCUCAUUAUUUUUAUUUACUUGUUUGAUCAGUCCCCUUCUACAUAGACAUCUCCUCUCUCUGCCUCCAUCCCCUGCCCAAUACAGAUGUCCUCCUUCCCCACUCAGGCUCUGGAAACCUGGACUGGGAAACCCUGUACCCUUCACCCAUGAGGAUGCCUUCCGCAGUCUUCCUGGCCUCCAACAUUCCAUGUGUGGAUCCAGUUUUGAACAAGGCAGACAGAUUCCUUGCUUUCAACGAGCUCACAUUCCAGUGGGGAGAGAGACAGAAAAAUAAAAAUGAUAAGUGCAAUGACAAGAUGUGAUAAGAAGUGACUGGGGGCUACUUUGGGUCAGGUGACUAUUCUCUUUUAGCUCCCCUGUUCCCCAUCUACUCUUCAUCCUUCUUUGGUCUGCUGUGUGCAUAUCUACAAAAUGCAUUACCUGGACUCCUCUGCUGCCAGCCUUCUAGUUGAGUUCAACCAGUGAGAGACACCCGUAGUAGAUAGGUGGGUGGAUGGAGAGAGAAAUGAGCAUUUUGCUUGCUCCUUCCUUGCUUGGGAAUAUGUUUUCUGGCCCCUCAUCCAGGAGCCAGAAAUUUCAUUUUCCCCUUACUCCUUUGAGCCCCUUAGUGGUCACAGCUUUCCACUCUUGCUACCCCUUGGAUGCCACAGUGGUUUUAUUUCUCUUCAUCUUACCCAAACUGUUAAUAGUUCUUUUGAAUCAGCUCAGUCGGAUGCUGUUUCAGAAAAGGGCUCUUUAAGGUAAUUACUUUUUUUGUGUGGUUUAAACAGUAUGUUGUGAAUAAUGCUUUUUUGAGGUCAAUAAGUAUUCUUAUACAAUGCGAUUUUCAAAAGUGCAGUCUGUUAGUCAAGAAAGGUCACUAUUAGCCAGGCUUGUCUUUCUAGAUCUGAGUGCAGAAUGGAUUAUCUUCUUGUCCUGUCCUGGCCUGAUGGCUAAGCAUCUUAAAUUGUGAAUUAAAGAGAGAGCAUGUUGUAGUAACUCUACCUCCCCAGGCAUCUAGAUUACCCAAGUAAUGUAAUUUGUGGCUUAUUUAUGGUACAGAACUGUAUUUCCUUCAGCAGGCUUUAUCCUUGGGUGUUCAUUUCUCCAUUCCUUGCCAUAGAGAGGGGGUCUCAGUCUUAGAAAUCAAUGAAACCUUUUCUUGGACACAGAGACAAGCCAUUGGAAGGGGUGAUUCCAAGAAUUGUGCUUUAAUUAUGAGGAUUCGUAAAAUAAUUUUUACAGCUUUUUUCCCCCCUCUGUUAAACAUUUGCAAAUUUGGGGUCUUCUUCCAAGGAGAGUCUAGACUAGAGAAAGAGGAGGCUUUCACAGGAAGAGUACCUUGCUGGAGCUUCCAUGAGCAUAAUUCAUGUCCUUAGCAAGAGAAAAGAACAUUAAAAGGACGUGCAUUUCUUUCUGUGACUGACAUUGUUGGUGUCAACAGCUUUAUAAACACAGAAAGCAAUAGAUUAAGAGAAGGAAAAUCCAGCAGAAUGAGAGCAGGAAAAAAAAGAAAAAGAAAAAAACUUGAGGCAUGCAAUUCUUGGAAAUCUUACUGCCUCCCUGGUUUCUUCUGCAUUUGAAUUUCUGUAGAGCACUGAUAGGAGGAUUGCCUUUAGGGGACAUGAGGAAAGGAACUGGGAAAAUUCAGCUUUUCUUUAGCCCUAGGAAACUACAGAAGGACUUGAAGCCAAGCGGAAUUAAUCAGAAACGGUGUGCCUGUGCCUGGGGAGACUUUCUGAGAAUCAGAUGAGAAUGUUGUUCUUGUUCCCAGGAGAGGGCAUAGGGACUUUGAGGGCUUGAAUCUUUCUGUUGUGUUUUCUGGGAUCACAUCCAUAUAAAAUCAGGUAAACCAAGAAGGCUAAUGUAAGCAAUCUCCCCAAAUUGUGUCCUCUGUCCGGCCUGUCUUCCCCCACCCCACCUUAGGUGAGUCAACACCCUUGGGGCGGCAUGCUUUCACAGAUUAAUUUAUUCCUGUUCUGUCCCAAAUUUGAAGAUGCAGUCCCCUGUUAUGCAUUAAAGGAGGUAAUCUGAAGCACUGUGACUUCAUCUUUCCAGAUUAGAAAGGCGUUACACCAUAGGUAAAUGAGAAAACCUAUUUGGAAGUGUUUUGCAUGUUGGAAGGAAGACACUUUAUAUACAUGUAAUUAUUGUUGACCAUUACCCACAAUAUAGCCUGGGAGGCCAGACUGCAUGCUGUGGGGGUACUUGACCUGUGUUUGAAUUCCUGUUCCUUUGCAGUUUAACUGUGUGACCUUGGGCAUGUUACUUGACCUCUCUGCAUCUGAAUGCAGAAUGGAUUACCUUCUUAUCCUGUCCUGGGUUUCCCCAGGACAGCCUCAGUUUUCCCAUCUGAAAGGUGAGGAAUUCACCUCAGUGUGAGAAUUAAAUGUACUGAGAUUAUAUAACAACAUAGAACAGUGCGUGACCCACAGUGAGCACUUGAGGACACAGUGAAUUUGAACCCAGCAGGAUGCAUGAUAACCUUCUUCCACAGACAUAGUGAGAAUCACAGCAGCUUAGCUGUAAAAGCUAGCAAAGUAACAGAGAAUUGCAGGGAAGUGGGGGUUUCUAGGCCUCUGUUUUCCCACUCUGAGGCAUGGGUAUAAUUUCUCUGCUCCCCUAAGGAAGCAGCUCUUUGAGACAAGGCUAAGAUUCAGCCAUGGUGUGUUGCUGUUGCAGAAGGUUUAACCACCUCACCUUACGGUGGAGGUUUCAGCAAAAUAAGCUUCUCUUUCUGUAAAUGGCUUCUCACCAUUGGCUCAUUUUUGUAAAUGAGCCAAUCCCACCAUUAGACCUCUGUGGACAGUGUCUAAUGGUGGGAAUGGCUAAUUUUCUGGAACCAAAUAAACAUUUGUUUCCACUAGCCCCAUAGUGCUAGUGCCACCAUUAAUGAGUGGCAGUGUUGUCCAUUGCUGCAGAAGUCAUUAGGGAAACUCUGGUAGAGCUCUGUUUAUUACCAGGGGAGGUGUCAGAGGCAGAGAAAGCACAGCUGGGGCUUCUAGGCCCCAGCAGAUCGCUCAGUGCAGGCAGCCAGAGCAAUCAUUCUUAGACUCGUGAAGUCGGAACAUAAAGUCCAAGAGGAAUAAGAAUGGGUGAGAUAAAGGAGUUGGGGGCUAUGAUCCAGAGUCAUAUUUCAGAUCUCUGAAAUUUUGAAUAAGUUAAGGUUAGAUGGUGGUGCAAUUCAAAGCAUACUUCCUAGGGGGGUCACGGUUUGAGCAAUGCCUUUCUAAGGAACAGGCUAAGCUUUGAGCUGGUUUCCUUGUCAGUGAUUAUACUCUCUGGUGCUCAGUAAGUACGCACCGUAGGUGUUGCGGAUUGGCCAAGCCAUCAGUGAGAUCUUCAGAAUAAAUAAGGUCCGUAAGAGUGCCACAUGCACAGAAUAUAUAUUGUGACAAAAUCCACUGGCUCCUUAACUCUGAGACCAAACCAGUCCCUGCAAGCACACCGAGAUUGUGCACAGGUAGUUGGUUGGCAGCAAAUACUGAAUUUACCUAUUUAUUUAUUUUAUUUAUUUCUUUUUUUGGGACAGAGUCUUGCUCUGUCACCCAAGCUGGAGUGUAGUGAAGUGCCAUCAUGGUUCACUGUAGCCUCAGCUUCCCAGGCUCAAACCAUCCUCCCAUCUCAGCCUUUUGAAUAGCCGAGACUCUAGGUAUAUGCCACCAUGCCCAGCUGUUUUUUUUUUUCGUGGAGGCAAGGGUCUCACUAUAAGUGACCUAGGCUGGACUUGAACUCUUGGGCUCAAGCGAUUCUUCUGCCUCAGCCUCCCAAAGCACUGGGAUUACAGGCAUGAGCCACCAUCUCAGGCUGAAUGUAUAUAGAUAAUGAGAUUGCUACAGAAAUAUGUGCUUCUUAGAACUUGCUUAAGGCAGGCUGGCAAUCACAAAAUAUUUGUUGGUGCUGGUUUUAGAUGAUGUUGGUUUUGGCUGGCUGGAUCGAUAUUGGUUGGAUAGGACUGCAAUAAUAAAACACCACAGACCGGGUGUCGUUACACAACAGAAAUUUGCUUUCUCAGUCUGGGAAGCUAGAAGUCCAAGAUCAAGGUGUUGGCAGGUUUGGUUUCUUCUGAAGCCUCUCUCCUUGGGUUGUAGAUGGCCUUUCCUCUGCCUGUGAGCAUCCCUGCUUGUUCCUCUGUGUCCACAUUUCCUCUUCUGUAUAAGGACCCCAGUCAAAUUGGAUUAGGGCCCAGCCUAAUGACCUCCUUUUAAUUGAAUCACAUCUUUAUUUAUUUACUUUUUGAGACAGAGUCUUGCUCUGUUGCCCAGGCUGGAGUGCCCUGGCAUGAUCUCGGCUCAUUACAACCUCAGCUGCCCGGGUUCAAGCAAUUCUCCUGCCUCAGCCUCCUGAGUGACUGGGACAGCAGAGGCGUGCCACCACGCCCAGCUAAUUUUUGUAUUUUUCGUUGAGACAGGGUUUUGCAUGUUGGCCAAGCUGGUCUCAAACUCCUAGCCUCAAGUGAUCUGCCCGCCUCUGGCUUUCAAAUUGCUGGGGUUACAGGUGCGAGCAGCUGCGCCUGGCCUGAAUCACCUUUUUAAAGGCCUUAUCUCCAAAUACAUUCAUAUUCUGAGGUAGUGGGGAUUAGGGCUUCCCUGAAUUUUGGAGGGGAGCAUGAUUCAGCCCAUAACAUGAUUUGAUGAGUAAACGUAUUGGUAACAAUGGGAGAUGGGAUUCUCACUACUGGAGAAGAGAGCUACAAAUGUAGAAAGAUUGAAAACGAGAUUGGAAGGCCAGGCACAGUGGCUCAUGCCUGUAAUGCCAGCACUUUGGGAGGCUGAGGCCAGAGGAUCACCCAGUCAAGAGAUCGAGACCAGCAUGGCCAACAUGAUGAAGCCUGGUAUCUACUAAAAAUACAAACAUUAGCUGGGUGUGGUGGCACCUGCCUGUAGACCCAGCUGCUUGGGAGACUGAGUCAGGAGCCUUGCUUGAACCCGGGAGGUGUAGGUUGCGAUGAGCUGAGAUCAUGCCACUGCACUCCAGCCUGGGUGACAGAGCGAGACUCCAUCUCAGAAAAAAAAAAAAGAAAAGAGAAUGAAUAAACAAAGAGAGGAGAAAACAUUUUCUUGCAGUGGAGUGUCAAUGAAUAAAUGGAGAAGGAACGAGAGAAUUAGAAAAAUCACUAUUUAGGUCGGGCGUAGUAGCUCACGCCUGUAAUCCUACCACUUUUGAGGCCAAGGCAGGAGGAUUGCUUGAGCCCAGGAGACCGAGACCAACAUAGUGAGACCCUGUUUCUACAGAAAAAAAAAAAAAAAAGAAUGAAUUAACCAGGUGUGGGUGACACAUGCCUGUAGUUCCAGAUACUUGGGAGGCUUAGGUAGGAGGAUCGCUUGAGCCUGGGAGGUCAAGGCUGCAGUGAGCUGUGACUGUACCAGUGCACUCCAGCCUGGCUAACAGAGUAAGACCCUGUCUCAAAAAUAAAUAAAUGAGUACAAUCAUGAUUUGGCAAUCAUUAUCAUCAUAAUUAAUUCAGCAAAGAAACAUCAAUGGAUGCUGAGGCUAGAGGGCAAAAGUCAGGAUAUGUACAUAAUUUCAGAAUAUCUCCUAAAAAUACUUAUUAACUGCAAAGGGGAAAAGAAUAACACACAGUGGAGAAAGCUGGCAGGUAUCACCCUAAUCAGGUGAUCAAAGUUAAUAUUACCAGUAAUGACACAAGUCUACAUUGCAUACCAUCUGAUGGGAGGCAAUGAGAAGAACACUGUCAUUUUUGUGGUAUUGCUGCCAAAAACACAUAUCCUAACUCUGACGAUGAGGAAACAUCAGACACACAAAAACCUGUCGUGUAAUCUUGAAAAAUGUGAAGGUCACGGGGACAAGGAAAGUGAAGAACUAUUCCAGAUCAAAGGAAAUGAAAGAGACAGGAUAGGCCGGGCGCGGUGGCUCAAACCUGUAAUCCCAGCCCUUUGGGAGGCUGAGGUGGGUGGAUCACCUGAAGUUGGGAGUUUGAGACCAGCCUGACUAACAUGGAGAAACCCCAUUUCUACUAAAAAUACAAAAUUAGCCGGUGUGGUGGCACAUGUCUGUAAUCCCAGCUACUCAGGAGGCUGAAGAAGGAGAAUCUCUUGAACCCAGGAAGUGGAGGUUGUGGUGAGCCGAGAUGGUGCUAUUGCACUCCAGCCUGGGCAACAAGAGCGAAACUCUGUCUCUCCCCCACCAAAAAAAGAGACAGGAUAACGCAACAGGUCAUUUGAAUUGGUUUGUUUUCUAGAGGAUAUUAUUGGAAGAAUUUGCGAAACUUGAAUGAGUCUGUAGAUUAGCUGGUCAUGAUGUAUAGUGUUAAUUUCCUGAUUUUCGUGUUUUUAUUUUGGUUAUGUAGGAGGAUGUCCUUGUUUAAAAGAAUUAUAGACUAAAGUGUUUAAGUGUGAUGGGGCAUUAUGUUGGCAAUUUAUUUCCAAGUGGUUCAGGAAAGCAAGGGGUUCUUUGUUCUAGUCUUGAAAAUUAAUGUUUAAAAUUAUUUCAAAUUUAUGAAAUUAUCUAGACAAAAAGAAGAAAAAAUAAAGGUAUUUUACAAAACAAAAUGGACAAACCAAAACUGAGUGUUCAUUACCAGCAAACCCACUAAAGGAAAUUCUAAGGCACAUUUUUUUUUUUUUUCAGGCAGAAUGAGAAUAAUCUCAGAUGGAAGGUUGGAGAGAAAUGAGAGAACAAGAAAACAAACAAAUGGAGAACAAAGAAAAGGGUAUGCACCAUGGUAAACUGGUUUGAAAUUCUCCACUCUCCCCAGAGGGAAACGUCGAGGUGGCAGAAAGGCCAAGAGAGGAAAAAGAAACAGUAUAAAGGAAAAGGAGGAGCUGGGAGUGGUGGCUCACAUCUGUAAUCCCAGCACAUUGGGAUGCUGAGGUGGAAGGAUCCCUUGAGUCCAGAAGUUUAAGACUAGCCUGGGCAACAUAGUGAGGCUUUGUCUCUACAAAAAGUGAACAAAAUUAGCCAGGUGUGGUGGUGCGUGCCCGUAGUCCCAGCUACAUGGGAGGCUGAGGUCGGCAGAUCACUAGAGCCUGGGAGCAUGAGGCUGCAGCCUGGGUAACAGAGUGAGACCCUCUGUCUCAAAAAAAAAAAAAAAGAGACUUCUCCAAUAGUAGGGGCACUAAUGGUUGCCUGCUGCUUCAAACGUAUGUGUGGUUUUAUUUGUCUGAGAAAAAGGUUUCUUCCCUGCUUUUCAAGUAGCUAAUGAAAAUAGCAUUGUGUGAUAUGACAAACCUGGUGUUGCGAAUUUUAGGUUUGAGAGUAAAAUUCAUUUUAAUUUUUUUUCUUUAUUUUUUUUAAAGACGGGGUUUCACCAUGUUGGUCAGGCUGGUCUUGAACUCCUGACCUCAGGUGAUUCGCCCGCCUUGGCCCCCACGUCAGCCACCACGCCCAGCAAAAUUCAUUUUUAUGUUUUGAACUUGAAAGAAGAGAUAUUUGAAUCCUUUUAUAGUUCAUCAGCAUGAUGACUGGGUUUUCACGUGCAUGUGUGAGCUGUGCUCCCUCAAACCUUGUUAUGAUGCUGGCAUAUUACCCGUCUGACAUGAAAAAAAGUUUUUUGGACUGGAGUUUAGAGAUUGGCAAACUCGUUGACCCAGUUUUAAGUGGAGGCUGCUAGUUACUAUCAGUUUGCUUCUACAGUCAUCCUUUGAUUUCCUGCCGGUAAAAUGAGGAUCUUGAGAGUAUGUCUAAAGAGUGGUUGAGAGGCUUACACAGGCUCAUUCCGAUAAAGCGAUUUAGAACAGUGCCUUCACCUGGGAGGCACUAUUCACAGUGGUUUUUAUGAUGAUGAUGAAUCCUUUCUCAUUGGUUGGGCUCAGCUGUCUGCUUGAACAGGAAGCACCUUACACAAUUUUUUUGGAAAUAGUUUAUAAUGUUAUAUAGGGUAUUGAUAAAGUUUAAGAUUCUGAGAUAUUGUCUGAAUUACUUUGUGUAUAAUACUUCACCCAACACCGUGAACUUGAGGGCACUAAAUUCUAUUUGAUGGCAAAAUUCAACCAAUGGUAACUUAUAGUGAACUUAUAAUGAGAUUUAGGGAUUUCAUAGGAUGUGGAAAAUACUUUUGAUUUCUUUAAAUAAGUGUGUGUGUGUGUGUGUGUGUGUGUGUGUGUGUGUGUGUGUGUGUGUGUUUGAGACAGGAUCUCGCUCUGUCACCCAGGCUAGAGUGCAGUGGUGUGAUCUUGGCUCAUUGCAACCUCUGCCUCCCGGGUUCAAGUGAUUCUCCUGCUCCAGCUUCCUGAGUAGCUGGGAUUACAAGCAUGCGCCGCCACACCCAGCUAAUUUUUGUAUUUUUAGUAUAGACGGGGUUUUGCCACAUUGGCCAGGCUGGUCUUGAUCUCCUGACCUCAGGUGAUCUGUGUGCCUCGGCCCUCCAAAGUGCUGGAAUUACAGGCGUGAGCCACCAUGCCUGGCCAAAUGUGUUUUACAAUAAAAUCAGGCACUGUGGAUUUUUACAAGUAGGAAGUUGAGCUCCAUGGAUGUCUAGCAGGUUCCAUCAACAAUGUCUCUUUCUUUUUCUUUUCUUUCUUUUUUUUUUUUUUUUUGAGAUGAGGUCUUACUCUGUUGCCCAGGCUGGCAUGCACAUUGCGGUCACAGUUCUCUGCAGCCUUGAUCUCCUGGGCUCCAGUGAUCCUCCCACCUCAUCCCUCUGAGUAGCUGGGAUUACAGGUGCAGACCACGACACCUGGCUGAUUUUUAUGCUUUUUGUGUGGACAUGGUUUCGCAAUGUUAUCCAGGAUGGUCUCAGACUUCUGAGUUUAAGUGAUUUAGCCUGCCUCAGCCUCCCAAAGUGCUGGGAUUACAGGUGUGUGCCACCGCACCCAGCCAAAAAUGUCUUUUUCUAAUAAUUAAAAAAAAAGGGCCUUUUAUGAUGUCAUGUUAUGAGGAUCAAUUAAGAGAUUUUGCUAUUGGAUUUGAUGUACUGUUUCAUGUUCCAAUGUCCCACCACCUAUUUGAGCUCUUCAGUUCUGCCAUCGGAAUGCUGGAGGCCAUUACCAACUCCCUGCACCUCCUCCUCUCUUUCUCCUGGUGUUCUGGGUAAGCUCUUUUGACCACCUACUGGGAGAGUGCUCUGGGUGCUGGAAGGUUAGGAGCCCUGAAAAGAAGGCUGGAGAAGAGAAGCCCUCAUUCUUCUACAUGAGCUGUGAGCCUGCAAAGAAAGAAGAUUGGAAUACUGAUUUGCAUUUUCAGUCUGUGCUCUGGGUACCUCUUCGCAGAGUGUCUGAGGCAUAAAUCUGUCUAUGACUUCUGGGACAAAUGAAUAGUCAUUUGAAAUAUCAGCCAUAGGUAAGUGUGGCCUCUGGGGCUUUUCCACAAGGCAGGGCAGGUCUAGUUUUUUGAGGCCAUUCUGCCGGAUGUUCAACUUCAGGUAUUUAAUCAUUCAAAAAACAUAGAUAUAGGCUACAGGUACAACAUGGCAUUCACAGAGGAAGAAGUAGAAGGUGUAGGUUUUGUGAACAAAGAAAGUAGCAUGGUUUGCAGUUUUAUUACAGGUGUAAGCGACAAGAAGAUAAAAAACAAAACAAAACGAAAGUGGCAUGGUGCUUGUCUUAUAUUUGCACAGGGAUUGCACAGGGCGUGUCUUUCCAAGUUCUUGCAACAGGGAGAAGGCAUGUUCCAAGAGCACUGUUAGCUAUCCCAGCAAUCCGUGCACUCUGAUCGGAUAGAUCACUGCAAGCUAAGGCUGUUUUUUAUUUUUUAAGUUUUUUCUUCUAAAGCCUUGUAAUCCUUCUGGGCAAAACUGGAAUGGCUUGGGAAUGCUUAGAUUAGUCUACUGAAUCUAAGUUUCUUGCAACAAAAGAACUGACUGGCAAACAAUUUGAGGUCAGUGUGUGAGGUUAAUUUUUUCUUCUGCUCUCAAUGAAUAUCUGAUCUGAUGCAAAAACAGCUCUGGCAAUGGAAGUGGGCAUGUUCCCCCACCACUUGACUCAGCAUAGGAGAGAAAUAAAUCAAACGUGUUUUACUGCUCUAAUGGUAUGCAGGAUCAUAGGUAAUCUUUUCUUAGAGAAAAGUCUUAGCUCCCCUUGACUUUGCAAAUGGACUCACCAAAGCUCAGUGAGGAAAAGAGGACUUACAAAGAGGACGUACUCUUUUUUGUUUGUUUGUUUUUUUGAGACAGAGUCUCACUGUGUCACAACCUCCACCUUCUGGGUUCAAGCCAUUCUCCCGCCUCCAUCUCCCGAGUAUCUAGGACUACAGGCAUGUGCUACCCAGGCCCGGCCAAUCUUUGAAUUUUUGUAUUUUUAGUAGAGAUCAGGUUUCACCGUGUUGGCCAAGCGGGUCUUGAACUCCUGACCUCAGGUCAUGUUCCCGCCUUGGCCUCCCAAAGUGCUGGGAUUACAGAUGUGAGCCACUAUGGCCGGCCAAGAGGAUAUACUUUUGUUACAGCAUAUAUAUUUUGGUUGAUCCAGUGGAGUAAUUUCUUUAAUUUCAGCUAGGUAUCUAGCCAUGGUUCUUACUCAAGUAUAUCACUCCGAAAGUAUCCUAAGAUCUGGCGGGGCACAGUGGUUUAUGCCUGUAAUCCCAGCACUUUGGAAGGCUGAGGUGGGCGGAUCACAUGAGACCAGGAGUUGGAGAGCAGCCUGGGCAAAUGGUGAAACCCGUCUCUACUAAAAAUACAAAAAUUAGCUGGGCGUGGUGGCAGGCGCUUGUAAUCCCAGCUACUCAGGAGGGAUUCACUUGAACCCAGGAGGUGGAGGUUGCAGUGAGCUGAGAUCAUACCAUUGUACUCCAGCCUGGGUGACUGAGUGAGACUCUGUCUUAAAAAAAAACAGUAUCCUAAGAUCUGAGCAGUGAAAGUGUUCAUUUCUGCAUCAGUUUGACAGGUGGUGUAUUCAUUACAUGUCAAUAUCCGGAUGGGGCAUUAAUGCAAGAUUGUCUGCCAUGGACUUAAUUGCCAUUCACUUUCAACAAACAUCUCAUGAAUACCUACUAUGUUCCAGAAUACCUACUAUGUUCCAUGAAUACCUACUAUAUUCCUACUAUGCGUGACAGAAGGACUCGUUUGUAUCAUAUUGGAGCUCUUUUAGCCUUUUCCUGUCUUCCAGAUAUCCAUGUAAAUACUGCUGUUUGGCAAUUUCCUCUAGAGCUGGAACCCAAGAGGGUUUCCCAACUUUACGACUUUCAAAGGGUGGCAUCCCUGCUAACUGACACUAGAGGGCGCCCAAUUGCCAGUAACAAAUUUGGGCGCUGGGACUUAGGGCACUAUUUCAAAACUGGUUUUACUCUUUUCAGUAAAAAACAGUUGCAGAACUCCAUCCCCCUCCCAAUGGGGCAUCAAAGGAGCAGACACUCUAAUGUGGACUAGACGUUGGUUUCCAUUAAGGCUUGCUUUCUUCAAACCCAGGCUUUUGGAAUAUCCCUAAGAACAGUGGGUAACUUGCUGGUAACUGCAUAUCCUGCUUGCUACAUUUAAUCCCAUCCUGCUGUCAUCCACCACAUCCCUGUCAAAUUCCAUGAUAUCUCAGCAUGAAGCUCUCGAAAGGACUGGCUCCUUUCUAAACCCCAAAGGGCUUCAGACAGACCAAUCCGGCUCUCAUUUUGUUUUCUGUUUUGUCUAAUACCCUUUUUUUCUUGAAUACAAGUAAGCCUUAUCUCCCAUUUUGGCCCAGGACUCUCUGGCUACAAUGGAUUUGUUUGGUCACAUUUUGUUAACUCAAACUCCCUCUAACUCCACCAUUCCUUGUUGUCUGUUCUUUCCCUUCUAUGAGACCAUAGAAGCUGUGUGUGUUCUCUAAAUUGAAAUUUUUAUGUGGCUUUCACUUGACGGGAUUCUGUAGGCUGAUGAGACUGACCACCUGUUACUGUGAUGAUCUAGAGGGCCAAAGAGGCCAAGCUCUGCAGAGAAAAACAAGAACCUCGUUCUCACUUCCAUUCUUUUAAAACAAGGGCCGGGCGCGGUGGCUCACGCCUAUAAUCCCAGCACUUGGUGGGACCGAGGCAGGUGGAUCAUGAGGUCAAGAGAUCGAGACCAUCCUGGUCAACAAGGUGAAACCCCGUCUCUACUAAAAAUACAAAAAUCACCUGGGCAUGGUGGUGCACACCUGUAGUCCCAGCUACUCAGGAGGCUGAGGCAGGAGAAUUCCUUGAACCCGGGAGACGGAGGUUGCAGUGAGCCAAGAUCACACCAUUGAACUCCA